rnacentral:rRNA from 1 species
GUGCCAGCCGCCGCGGUAAUACGGAGGGUGCAAGCGUUAAUCGGAAUUACUGGGCGUAAAGCGCACGCAGGCGGUCUGUUAAGUCAGAUGUGAAAUCCCCGGGCUCAACCUGGGAACUGCAUCUGAUACUGGCAGGCUUGAGUCUCGUAGAGGGGGGUAGAAUUCCAGGUGUAGCGGUGAAAUGCGUAGAGAUCUGGAGGAAUACCGGUGGCGAAGGCGGCCCCCUGGACGAAGACUGACGCUCAGGUGCGAAAGCGUGGGGAGCAAACAGGAUUAGAUACCCUGGUAGUCCACGCCGUAAACGAUGUCGACUUGGAGGUUGUGCCCUUGAGGCGUGGCUUCCGGAGCUAACGCGUUAAGUCGACCGCCUGGGGAUACGGCCGCAAGGUUAAACUCAAAUGAAUUGACGGGGCCCGCACAAGCGGUGGAGCA